rnacentral:rRNA from 1 species
ACGAACGCUGGCGGCGUGCCUAACACAUGCAAGUCGAGCGGAUUUUGCUGAAUGACGCUUCGGUUGAUUUCAGUGAAUGAGAGCGGCGGACGGUGAGUAACGCGUAGGCAACCUGCCCUUUGCAGAGGGAUAGCCAUUGGAAACGAUGAUUAAAACCUCAUAAUGCCAAGUUCAGACAUCUUUACUUGGCCAAAGAUUUAUCGCUGAAAGAUGGGCUCGCGUCUGAUUAGAUAGUUGGUGAGGUAACGGCUCACCAAGUCGACGAUCAGUAGCCGGACUGAGAGGUUGAACGGCCACAUUGGGACUGAGACACGGCCCAGACUCCUACGGGAGGCAGCAGUGGGGAAUAUUGCACAAUGGGCGCAAGCCUGAUGCAGCAACGCCGCGUGAGGGAAGACGGUUCUCGGAUUGUAAACCUUUGUCUUUGGUGAAGAAGAAAGUGACGGUAACCAAGGAGGAAGCCACGGCUAACUACGUG